rnacentral:rRNA from 1 species
GAUGAACGCUAGCUACAGGCUUAACACAUGCGAGUCGCGGGGCAGCAUGGGGGUUGCUUGCAAUCCCCGAUGGCGACCGGCGCACGGGUGAGUAACGCGUAUCCAACCUGCCCUUCACCACGGGAUAACCCGGCGAAAGUCGGACUAAUACCGUAUGUUGUCCAUUGACGGCAUCCGAUUUGGACGAAAGGUUUGGCGGUGAAGGAUGGGGAUGCGUCCGAUUAGCUGGACGGCGGGGUGACGGCCCACCGUGGCGACGAUCGGUAGGGGGUCUGAGAGGAAGGUCCCCCACACUGGAACUGAGACACGGUCCAGACUCCUACGGGAGGCAGCAGUGAGGAAUAUUGGUCAAUGGGCGUAAGCCUGAACCAGCCAAGUAGCGUGCAGGAUGACGGCCCUAUGGGUUGUAAACUGCUUUUAUGCGGGGAUAAAGUGGCCCACGUGUGGGUUUUUGCAGGUACCGCGUGAAUAAGGACCGGCUAAUUCCGUG